CGCUCCGAGAGCUUCAUUAUUGUUGGGUGUCAUUUUAAUUUAGAUAAGGAGCGAGUAAUCUGUGUAAUGCCACUGAUGAGCUGCUCUGCGCAGGUCUGAUAUCUGUCAGCCUGAGAGCGGUGCACAGGAUUAUGGGAUUGAGGCCGUGUCGCUCUGAGCUGCUCAUCUAACAGGUGUUUUUGAUGAACAGGUGUUUGGAAAUUAACCCGUCCUUUAAUAGCAGGAGCUCUGACUGUGAUCUGAUGCUUUCUGGAAACUGAUUGGAUGAUUAAGAUGUAAAGGCGGAGUUCAGGGGUCAUAACAGUGAGGGCUAGAGAACAAGUCAAAUGAUCCAUCGAUGGAUCUGCUGGUGUGUCUGCGGCUCCUGCUGCGGGUCCAGUCCCUGCGGAUCUGACUCAACAUCACUCAUUCCUCUGUCAGCAGAUCGAUGAGACACGUCGGAAUGAUAAGUCGGCUGUGGUUUAAAGCGUGUUGAGAGAUGUCCUCCAGUCGGAUGAUGAAGAUGGACUCAUUACUAAAUGCAGAUCUGCGUUGCAGUUGCCAACUUAAACAAAUUCAUCUGCCAAUAAGCAUGAGGACCAGAGCCGUGCUGUAAGACUCAUCUCAUCUGCAGAUUAAUCAUGAUGAAUGUAAGAAAUGACAGUGCAUGUGGCCGCUGGCGGCUAGCAGUGAAGCAGACACUAAUGACACGCCAUUAAUUACCAAGACUAAUUGCAAAGACCUGGUCUGCAUCACCAUGACGACAGCGUCCUGCAGCACUGAAGUGUCUGCUUGUUCAUUAACACCUGGAAACUCACAAAUAUCCUGAACUAGAGAUCCUCUAACUGAAUGGGUUGUCAAUGUGUCGCUUUGCUAGGAUAGUUGGGUUAUGCAGUGUAGCUGUGCAACCAUAGCAACUAUAGAAUCACCACAACAGAUCAAUAACUAUAGUUAUUUCGUUAUUAUAACAACUUUAGAUUCACCACAACAGAUCAGUUACUCUAGUUGUUAUAUUACCAUAGCAACUAUAGAAUCACCGCAA